UCAAUAAAACAUAUUUUUUAUUGUUUUUUUGUAUUAUUAUUAUUACUGUGUCAGAGACUCGGGCAGGCGGCGAACCCACAUGCACAGCACAGAGGCAGGAUUACGAUCAGAAAGGUUUAUUCUUAAGGCACGGUCAGACGGUCCAGGUCAUACACGAAAUGGCUCGACAAAAGUACAGGCAGGGAACAGGCAAAAACUCACGGUCAGUAGAUACUCCAGGGUCAGGCAGGAUACAUGGUGCAAACAGGAAUAAACACGAAAAACACGAACACGCAGGGAACUCAGGAGACUAGGGACGCUCAACUCACAAGAAACACGAACACUCAGGGAACUCGAAUACGGCAAUCUGGCAGGGAACUAAGGACACAGGUGGUGGUUAAAUACACAGUGACUUGAUGACUAACAGAGUGCAGGUGUGGGUAAUGAGCAGGGACAGCUGUGACAAGACAAGAAACCGGAAGUAAAGCUAGAACACAAAACAGAGACCGGGAGACUACCAAAAUAAAACAGGAAACGGAAACUGGAACCAAAAUAAGACAAGCAGGACAUGACGUGAAAACAGGGAACAACUAGAAACAAAGACACGGAUCAUGACAGUACCCCCCCCCCCCUAUGGCGCCUUCCACGGCGCCUACGGAAGCCUCCCCCCCCAAACCAGGGCGGGCGGAGGGUGGUCCCAGGCGGAGGGACCGAAUCCCUACCCCUCAAGGUACAUGAGCAGGGUGGGUGGAGGGAGGACCGGAGGAGGGCCAAAACAAGAGUCCACACGAAAACCUCAAAGUCCAUGAACAGGAAAAUAAAAAAAAAGUCCAGGGAUUCCGUCACGGAGGGUGACGGCGUGGCGAGAUCCUGCUCAGCAGCCGCUGAGCCAGGAUGGCACUCUUAGUGCCCUUGAGCUGGGACGAUGUCCCCGGGGACCACCCCGCAUGGCAGCGUCCACCAGGCGGACGCUGAUCCAGGCGGUUGAGGAGUCGAGGCGGACGGCGCCGCAGGAGGCAGCGCCAUCCCAGCAGCAGGAUGCGCCGAGGGCGAGGCCACCAGUCCGGCAGCAAAGGCAGAGACGAGGCAGGAACCAGCGGCGUCCUCCUUGGACCACCGCGACGAGAGGCAGGAACCGAAGCAGAUGCGGCAGGAGCUACGGCGGGAGCGACCCCCUCCUGGAGGUCGGCAGGAGCUACGGCGGGAGCGACCCCCUCCUGGAGGUCGGCAGGAGCUACGGCGGGAGCGACCCCCUCCUGGAGGUCGGCAGGAACUACGACGGGAGCGACCCCCUCCUGGAGGUCGGCAGGAACUACGACGGGAGCGACCCCCUCCUGGAGGUCGGCAGGAACUACGACGGGAGCGACCCCCUCCUGGAGGUCGGCAGGAACUACGACGGGAGCGACCCCCUCCUGGAGGUCGGCAGGAACUACGACGGGAGCGACCCCCUCCUGGAGGUCGGCAGGAACUACGACGGGAGCGACCCCCUCCUGGAGGUCGGCAGGAACUACGGCGGGAGCGACCCCCUCCUGGGGGUCCGCCGGGACUGCGGCGGGCGCGACCCCCUCCUGGGGGUCCGCCGGGACUGCGGCGGGCGCGACCCCCUCCUAGGGGUCCGCCGGGACUGCGGCGGGCGCGACCCCCUCCUGGGGGUCCGCCGGGACUGCGGCGGGCGCGACCCCCUCCUGGAGGUCCGCCGGAACUGCGGCUGGC
rnacentral:lncRNA from 1 species